GUGCUUUUCUUAGCACAAAAUAUUAUACUCAUACAUUUUAAACAAAAUAUAAUAAUUAUUAGUAAUUAUUUAUUCAAAUAUUCAAUUAAAAUAAAACUUGUUUAAUUAGUUUACAGUAAAAAACAUUAAAAAAGAAACGAUGCGGUGCAAAAUAAACGACAGUGCCUUACUUACCCCAAAAUAUUAUACUCAUACAUUAUAAGCAAAAUUUUUAUUCAUUAGUACUAAUUUAUUGAAAUAUUCAAUUAAAAUAAAACAUAAAUUGUUUACUUUAACUACUUUAAAGUCAAGAACAUUAAAAAAGAAACGAUAGGGC
rnacentral:lncRNA from 1 species